rnacentral:lncRNA from 1 species
GGACCCCUCAAAGAUCAUGUUUGGAUACGCUUCUGCUAGCUAUGCUUGAAUUAUAAUCUAAGUGAAAGAUUUUCUCACUUCUCACUUUCCACUUCUCGUAGUUCAAAUCUCUAUAGUGGCUUACCACGUAAGAAAGAAUCGGUAGAAAUAAGCAAAGCGUUUAGCGGGAUUCUCACUUAUUUCCACCGAUAAGCCACUUAUAAGCGGAAACAAACGGGGCCAAAGAAGCCUCGUGUACUCUUGUCAACAACAACAACAACAACAUAGCCUUUCAGUCCCAAACAAGUUGGGGUAGGCUAGAGUUGAAACCCAACAAGAGCCACAAAUCAAGGUUCGGGCACAUAAAUAGUUAUUUUCCAAGCACUCCUAUUCAGGGUUAAAUCUUUGGGUAUAUUCCAUCCCUUCAAAUCUCCUUUUAUUGCCUCUUCCAUGUCAAUUUUGGUGUUCCUCUGCCUCUCUUCACAUU